rnacentral:rRNA from 1 species
GAUGAACGCUGGCGGCGUGCUUAACACAUGCAAGUCGAACGAUGAAGCCCAGCUUGCUGGGUGGAUUAGUGGCGAACGGGUGAGUAACACGUGAGUAACCUGCCCUUGACUCUGGGAUAAGCCUGGGAAACUGGGUCUAAUACUGGAUAUGACUUCUCAUCGCAUGGUGGGGGGUGGAAAGAUUUAUUGGUCUUGGAUGGACUCGCGGCCUAUCAGCUUGUUGGUGAGGUGAUGGCUCACCAAGGCGACGACGGGUAGCCGGCCUGAGAGGGUGACCGGCCACACUGGGACUGAGACACGGCCCAGACUCCUACGGGAGGCAGCAGUGGGGAAUAUUGCACAAUGGGCGCAAGCCUGAUGCAGCGACGCCGCGUGAGGGAUGACGGCCUUCGGGUUGUAAACCUCUUUCAGUAGGGAAGAAGCGAGAGUGACGGUACCUGCAGAAGAAGCGCCGGCUAACUACGUG